UUCGCACCUCUGCAUUCUCCACACGCCUCUCGCCUGCAACUGCCAAUCGGUCGCCCUCACUUCUCGCCUGCAACAACCAGCAGCUCACCUACAACAUCCAGCCUCUCUUCUUCCUUCCUCGCCAUAUUUGAAGAUACAGGAGAGGUACAAAUAGAUUCAUUGAGGAGUAUCAGACAUUGUUGGAAUUAUUAAAUGACACAUAUUUGGCUCCAAAUAUGGAUGAUAGCGCUUCUUGAGGUAUAGUAGAAGAACAUACAUAUUCAUUGAGGAGUAUCAGACAUUGUUAGAAUUAUUGAAUGACACAUAUUUGACUCCAAAUAUGGAUGAUAGCUUUAUUUGGGAUCUUACGCCUUCGGGAGAUUUUUUAGUUAAAUCAACCUACAAUUAUUA